AGAGUGAGAAUUCCAGUGGAGUAGUACCUUCGUGUGUUUUUGGAUUCUGCUGGGAUUAUGCACGUUUUCUGGAUGUCAUUCUCUAGGGUAUGAAAAAUGCUUCCAGAGAGGACGGAAUUUACUUCUUAGGAAGAGUCACGUACAACCAGGAUGAGUCCCCCAUGCAGACUUUCAGGCUGGAGGAUGCAAACGCAAAGAAUUUUCCACACCUAAACCUGAGAUUCAUUCGUGCUACAUGUGUAUUUAUUGAAUGCAACUGGAUGGGAACCCUGUCCCCUGAAGAACACAGUUAUGAAGAGACGGAAAAUAGAUCACUACAUCUGGUAACUGCAUUUCAAGCCGGUAACAGCAAUGGAUACAGUGCAUGAUUCUCUCAAUUCAUUCUGGAUUGCACUGUGAUGGGACGAUAAAAAAAAAAUUCUGCUAUGCAGAUUGUGAUUAUGAUAGAU